rnacentral:rRNA from 1 species
UAUUGCGCAAUGGGGGCAACCCUGACGCAGCCAUGCCGCGUGAAUGAAGAAGGCCUUCGGGUUGUAAAGUUCUUUCGGUGAUGAGGAAGGUGGAUGUUUAAAUAGGGCAUUCAAUUGACGUUAAUCACAGAAGAAGCACCGGCUAACUCCGUGCCAGCAGCCGCGGUAAUACGGAGGGUGCGAGCGUUAAUCGGAAUAACUGGGCGUAAAGGGCACGCAGGCGGAUAAUUAAGUGAGAUGUGAAAUCCCCGAGCUUAACUUGGGAAUUGCAUUUCAUACUGGUUAUCUAGAGUCUUGUAGAGAGGGGUAGAAUUCCACGUGUAGCGGUGAAAUGCGUAGAGAUGGGAGGAAUACCGGAGGCGAAGGCGGCCCCUGGACAAAGACUGACGCUCAUUCGAAA